UGCAGUCGAACGAUGAAGCCCAGCUUGCUGGGUGGAUUAGUGGCGAACGGGUGAGUAACACGUGAGCAACCUGCCCCUGACUCUGGGAUAAGCGCUGGAAACGGCGUCUAAUACUGGAUAUGUCCCGUCACCGCAUGGUGUGCGGGUGGAAAGAUUUUUCGGUUGGGGAUGGGCUCGCGGCCUAUCAGCUUGUUGGUGAGGUAAUGGCUCACCAAGGCGUCGACGGGUAGCCGGCCUGAGAGGGUGAUCGGCCGCAUUGGGACUGAGACACGGCCCAAACUCCUACGGGAGGCAGCAGUGGGGAAUAUUGCACAAUGGGGGAAACCCUGAUGCAGCGACGCCGCGUGAAGGAAGAAGGUUUUCGGAUCGUAAACUUCUAUCAGCAGGGAAGAUAGUGACAGUACCUGACUAAGAAGCCCCGGCUAACUACGUGCCAGCAGCCGCGGUAAU
rnacentral:rRNA from 1 species